rnacentral:snRNA from 1 species
GUGCUCACUUCGGCAGCACAUGUACUAAAAAAUUGGAACGAUACAGAGAAGAUUAGCAUGGCCCCUGCGCAAGGAUGACACACAAAUUCGUGAAGUGUUCCAUUGGAAA